AUUGAACGCUGGCGGCAGGCCUAACACAUGCAAGUCGAGCGGAUGAAGGGAGCUUGCUCCUGGAUUCAGCGGCGGACGGGUGAGUAAUGCCUAGGAAUCUGCCUGGUAGUGGGGGAUAACGUCUGGAAACGGGCGCUAAUACCGCAUACGUCCUGAGGGAGAAAGUGGGGGAUCUUCGGACCUCACGCUAUCAGAUGAGCCUAGGUCGGAUUAGCCAGUUGGUGGGGUAAAGGCCUACCAAGGCGACGAUCCGUAACUGGUCUGAGAGGAUGAUCGGUCACACUGGAACUGAGACACGGUCCAGACUCCUACGGGAGGCAGCAGUGGGGAAUAUUGGACAAUGGGCGAAAGCCUGAUCCAGCCAUGCCGCGUGUGUGAAGAAGGUCUUCGGAUUGUAAAGCACUUUAAGUUGGGAGGAAGGGCAGUAAGUUAAUACCUUGCUGUUUUGACGUUACCAACAGAAUAAGCACCGGCUAACUUCGUG
rnacentral:rRNA from 1 species